rnacentral:rRNA from 1 species
UACGGAGGGAGCUAGCGUUGUUCGGAAUUACUGGGCGUAAAGCGUACGUAGGCGGUUAUUCAAGUCAGAGGUGAAAGCCCGGGGCUCAACCCCGGAACUGCCUUUGAAACUAGAUAGCUAGAGUCUUGGAGAGGUUAGUGGAAUUCCGAGUGUAGAGGUGAAAUUCGUAGAUAUUCGGAAGAACACCAGUGGCGAAGGCGACUAACUGGACAAGUACUGACGCUGAGGUACGAAAGCGUGGGGGAGCAAACAGG